AAUUAAAUUAGCUUAGAUUUAAACAUUUACAUUAUAUACACAAGUAUAAGACACAAGUACAAUGCUUCAUAUAUAUUAGUUAGAUGACUUUCCCCUUAAUAUAAACUCAUAACUUUUUAGAGAGUAUGCUUAACAAAGAGGCACACGAACAAAGUGAUACAAGUAAAAUGCUUUAGAUAUAUGUAUUAGUCUGACAAAUUUCCUCUUAAUAUAAACUUGCAUAACAUUUUAGAAAGGGUUAGUUGUCAUGGUUCCAGUACUGCUCAACAUGACAAAUAUCCACGGAGCAGUCUUAUGUAACCCAAAUUUUGACUUCUGUCAUGUGUGCAUUUGCUACUUGCUAAAAAGUACAGGACAGCCUGUGCUGAAGGCCUCAGCUGAACUUUAGACUUAGAAGACUUCUAUACAAAUAUGGAAAUAAGAAAAGUUAAAGAUAAAAGAUUUCCACGAAAUGUUUAUACUUCUAAAAACAGCAUGAUUCAGAGACGUUUAUAUUCCAUCACACGUCUGCUAUUUGGAGUCAUUCGAACCCCCCCCUGUGGGUUCUUAACAAAAGAGAACCAGACGAUUAAUCUUCUGAGGUAGGACAGUUGGACUUUGAACAUACAAUCUGCUGACCUUACGAAAUAGGGAACUGAAAUUAGGCUGCAAGGGCUAGGAUGUAUUUUCGGAGAAGGAUGACGACUGUUUUGAUAUCUGUUUGAGACGUGGCUGCAGAGACGUGGCAUGGGUUUGAUACAGAUUGGCAGGGCUAUAAGAGGAGGCAAAUUCAGCUCUCUCUCUCUCUCUCUCUCGCGCAGACUGAGUUCAGCCUAGACCCUUCUAGCUGGACUUAGUCUUUUCUCACCUUCUUUAUCUUUGAUUCCGGGCUCACUUGAAUACUUUGAACUUCUCUCAGGUUUUAUUCAUCUCAGAUAUGAUUAUUAUUAUAUUAUUUGUUAUUAUAUGAAUAUUAUUAUAACUUUUGACUUUUGAUAUACAGGGUAUUGUUGUAUACUUUGUAUUAUUAUUUUUAACAUCUUGAUUACUUUUGAAUAUUAUAAUGCAUUUUGUAUUACUUUUAAUUGGGCAACAUCCAUCAUACAUGGAUUGCUUUUAAAACUAUAUUAAUUUGGGGAUUUGUAUUUUCUAUAUUUGAAGCUGAUUUUAAUACUUACUAAUCUGUUUGCAAGUUAUGAGUUGUAUUCUCAUUUCCUAUAUUCUUUGAGUAAAUUUGCAUACUAAAAUACCACCCCACCGUCUGACCAGAAUUGAAGUCUCAUUUUUUGCAUCAGUUUUGGAGGCACCCGCUGGAGAUCGUUGAAGUUUUCAUUUCAUUAAGUUUCGAUGCAACGCAAGACAAAAUAAAGAGAGGUAUGAGUGCAUGCUGAUACGGAACCUAUCCUGCGUAUAUUUACCACACGACUGGUUCUAAGGGUGACCCCUUUGGUGUGACUUCUGCAACAGUGCAGCUCAUCAACGAUUCGGGAGUGGUUGCUGUGCUCGUAGCUGGACAUCUGUGUUGGAUCCCAAGAACUGGACGCAUCGUCAUCACAUCGCACGCUAACUCUACAUCAUCUGAGAGACUUGUGCUUUAAUCUACCAGCUGAUAUAUAGAUUUACAAAUCCCUACAUCAAGAUGCCUCACAAGAUUAUUGAUCAAAAAGAUUCUUUUACUCCUAUUGCUACCAGCAGUGAUGAAGAAAUGUAUGAAUUAGAGGUGAAGGGUAAGGAAAGAUACGAGAUGU